rnacentral:rRNA from 1 species
UACGUAGGGUCCGAGCGUUGUCCGGAGUUACUGGGCGUAAAGCGCGCGCAGGCGGCCGUCCAAGUCUGGCGUGAAAGCCCCCGGCUCAACCGGGGAGGGUCGCCGGAGACUGGGUGGCUUGAGGGCGGCAGGGGUCGGUGGAAUUCCCGGUGUAGUGGUGAAAUGCGUAGAGAUCGGGAGGAACACCCGUGGCGAAGGCGGCCGACUGGGCCGUCCCUGACGCUGAGGCGCGAAGGCGUGGGGAGCGAACGGG